GGUGAAGUGACAGUAAGAAUGUGCUGAAAGAAUAAAAUAAUCUUAUAUCCAAUUUAUUAAUAGGAUGACCUCUGAAGCAUAGCACUGAGCAGACUGCUGGUCCUGUCCAUUGUUUUAUCUGACCAUGUCCUGAAGAUGAGAGACUUACAUGUGGAGCAAAGUCAUCCAAUCAGUAUGAGCCAGAGCAGAGGCAUUCCGGGAGUACGCAGAGGGCAUGCCAUUGAGGAUCUGGGAGAUUUCCACCAUAGCAGUCAGCUGACUGCAUCCCCAGGAGGACCAGGCAGAGGAAAACACUUGG
rnacentral:lncRNA from 1 species